rnacentral:rRNA from 1 species
UAGGGAAUCUUCCGCAAUGGGCGAAAGCCUGACGGAGCAACGCCGCGUGAGUGAUGAAGGUCUUCGGAUCGUAAAACUCUGUUAUUAGGGAAGAACAAAUGUGUAAGUAACUAUGCACGUCUUGACGGUACCUAAUCAGAAAGCCACGGCUAACUACGUGCCAGCAGCCGCGGUAAUACGUAGGUGGCAAGCGUUAUCCGGAAUUAUUGGGCGUAAAGCGCGCGUAGCCGGUUUUUUAAGUCUGAUGUGAAAGCCCACGGCUCAACCGUGGAGGGUCAUUGGAAACUGGGGAACUUGAGUGCAGAAGAGGAAAGUGGAAUUCCAUGUGUAGCGGUGAAAUGCGCAGAGAUAUGGGGGAACACCAGUGGCGAGGGCGACUUUCUGGUCUGUAACUGACGCGGAUGUGCGAGAGCGUGGGGAUCAAAAAGG